AUGACAGUGUGGAGGGCGUCAGGUGUGCUGGGGGCGACGGGACGGCUCUUAUCAUCCAUCUCUCGGAUGGUAUGGUCAGGGUGGACACCCCCUGCACCAUUGACACCUUCAUGCUGCGCAACGACAAGAAUGAUUUCCUGUUUCGGAUCCCGAAAAGCGAGCACAUGACCACCCCAGAGGCCUUAAUGAAUGAGCGAGAUUCCUGGAUGAAAGCCAUCAGAGAACUGUGUGUGGACUGGAAACGAAAAUCACAAUUUGAAGACUUCUACGAAGCCCCUGACAGUGACUUUAUCAAUGUAACCGAGCCAGAAAGUAAGACUCAGAACAACCAUGAGCCUCCACCGGUGCCGCCUUCACAGAGACCACGAUUACCCAGAACACCCACAGCUGUGCACCCAGCCCUACCAACAACACCAGAGCCGCUGGAACCACUGGAGGCACCAAAACCACCUCGAAAGCCAAACCGCUCCACAUUCUGCAGAUCUGUAGCACUGCCCUUAACACCACCGGCGGCUGCAUGU
ensembl:processed_transcript